rnacentral:lncRNA from 1 species
CAACAAGGAUGAGGAAGACUUCAUUGAUGUCAUGCUGUCUGUCAUGGAUGAUGGCAAGACUUCUCCUGAGGAUGCCGAUACUGUCAUUAAGGCCACGUGCUUGGUAAGUCCCUGGGAAUUCUGCAACAUAGAUUUACACAGAUAAGAGAGAAAUUAACUACUGUCUACGAUGAAGAUGCAAAAGCAUUAGAAAAAUUAAACUUAAUUUGGCUAGGGUCUGAUCUCUCCUGAAAACUGUUGAGAAUAUGACGAUUGAUUUUUUGUUUCUUUGGCAAAAGCUAAAUUAAAAUAAAAGGUGAUAUAGGAAAGCCAAUGAAAUCCAUCUGCUCAUCAUCUAUCAGUAACUACAGAUUACUGGAAUGAUAACUAUUUAAGUGACCAUCUCUCUGUGUACUCUUGUUCAUUUUGCAGAGCCUAAUAUCAGGUGGCAAUGAUACCACAGUGACCACAAUUACAUGGGCACUAUCUCUUCUAUUGAACAACCGGCAUGUACUAAAAAAGGCACAAGAUGAGCUCGACAUCCAUGUUGGAAAGAAUCGGCAAGUUGAGGAAUCUGAUAUUAAGAACCUGCUAUACUUACAAGCAAUUGUCAAAGAAACAUUAAGAUUAUGCCCUCCGCUACCGCUUUCAGCUCCACGUGAGGCCAUGGAGGAUUGCACCAUUGAUGGCUUCCACAUCCCAGCAGGCACACGGCUUAUAGUUAACUUGUGGAAGAUGCAUCGUGAUCCCAGCAUUUGGGCAAACCCGUCAGAAUUUAUACCUGAUAGAUUCCUAAAUGAAAAUGCCAAGUUGGAUGUUAAUGGUCAGGAUUUUGAAUUUUUACCAUUUGGCUCUGGUAGAAGGAAGUGUCCAGGGAUCUCAUUCGCUCUUCAGGUUCAGCACUUGACAUUGGCACGCCUGCUCCAUGCAUUCAGCUUAG